UUUAUACUCCCUCCGUCCGGAAAAGCUUGUCCGUCAAAUGGAUGUAUCUAGCACUACGUAUCUAGCACCAAGUUAGUGCUAGAUACAUCCAUUUGAGGGACAAGCUUUUCCGGACGGAGGGAGUAUAUG
rfam:Triticum aestivum genome assembly, contig: Triticum_aestivum_CS42_TGACv1_scaffold_093004_2AL